GCACCCGUAGCUCAGCUGGAUAGAGUAGGAGGCUUCGAACCUCUUGGUCGGGGGUUCGAAUCCCUCCGGGUGCACCA
rnacentral:tRNA from 1 species